GACGAACGCUGGCGGCGUGCUUAACACAUGCAAGUCGAACGGAAAGGUCCUGCUUUUGUGGGGUGCUCGAGUGGCGAACGCGUGAGUAACACGUGAGUAACCUGCCCUUGACUUUGGGAUAUCUUCAUGAAACUGGGGCUAAUACCGGCUAGGAGCUCCUGCUCCAUGGUGGGGGUUGGACAGUUUCGGCGGUUGGGGUUGUACUCGCGGCUUCGCAGCUUGUUGGUUGGGUAGUGGCUUACCAAGGCUUUGACGGGUAGCCGACCUGAGCGGGUGACCGGCCACAUUGGGACUGAGGUACGGCCCAGACUCCUACGGGACGCAGCGGUGGGGAAUAUUGCACAAGGGGCGGAAGCCUGAUGCAGCAACGCCGGGUGCGGGAAGACGGCCUUCGGGUUGUAGACCGCUUUCGCAUGUGACGAAGCGUGAGUGACGGUAAUGGGUAAAGAAGCACCGGCUAACUACGUG
rnacentral:rRNA from 1 species